rnacentral:snRNA from 1 species
UUGCUUUGGCAGCACAUGUACUAAAAUUGGAAUGAUACAGAGAAUAUUAGAAUGGCUCCUGCACAAGGAUGACAUGCAAAUUUGUGAAGCAUUCUAUAUUGAA